rnacentral:lncRNA from 1 species
UUGGAUGAUUGAGCUCAAGGAAAAAGGCAAAAAGGUUAUGUGAAUUGAUAAAUGGAUAAUGUGGACAGCCUGACUAGAUAUCCUGGGAGAUGGUGGACGGACCGGGUCCGUAGGGAACCCUAUCAGGAAGUGGUCUCUCAUACCGGACGGGGUAUGGAGACCUUAUGUGUUUUGGCGCCCAUACCGGAUGGGGUAUGGGGACGACCCGUUUCACCCUCAUACCGGACG